rnacentral:lncRNA from 1 species
AGAGACCAAUCUCUAUCUCACUCUCUCUCUAACGAUUGCUCUCUCUUCUCUCUAGAACCUUCUGGUUCCCUCCUUUUUCUCCGACGAGCUUCAUCGCCUCUCCGACCAUGCUGUGUCCUUACUUCUCUCGACCUCUAGCCACCAUGGGAUCCUAUAUCGCUGCUUCUCUCCAAGGUUUGAAGCCCAGAAGCUUCCACCAUGAAGAUGGUCGCUGAAGCCUCGCCGGGGUCCAUUUCCGGCCUUUCUCCAAUGGAUUUUGGUCUUAUGAUGCUGAAAACUCCAUUACCCUUGUGUUUCAAAGCCAGGUUUCUCUUAUCUCUCUCACUGGGUUCUUAUGAAACCUUAAUCUUAACCCUAACCUCUCAAAUCUCUGAUUUUUAACGAUUUUAACUCGUACCUUUAUGUUUUGCACUAUUUUUUUUACUCGAUCUUUAUGAUUACUCCAGUUUUAAACGAUUUUGUUCCCUUUUGAAACUAGGGUUUCUGACCCCCUUUUCGAAAUCACUUCAUUUUUCUGAUUUUGAGUUCUAAUUCGUGAUUCUCAGUACUAUUUCUAAAUAUCUGCUUAAGUCUGAUGAAACCCUAACUUUGUAUAUUUGUGUUUGCAUAAUUUGCUUGUUUUGUCUUCUUCUGGGUUCUUCACCGAGUUCUAUGCUCUUUACUUUAAUUUUGUCGUUAGUGUUUCAUUCCCCUACCAUUUUGUGUUCUUCACUUAAAGUUUCUCUUAUCGCUUACGUGGUAAUUUUAUACUGAUUCUUCAAGCCCUCUUUGAGACUGUGAUACUUGCUUUAAAAUUAUGAUUCUGCGUAUUUUCCCUAUAGUUUGAUUUUCUUCCUUAAUUUGUGGGAUAUUUUCCUCAGUUAAUACUGAUUUCCUAGGUUUCAAAUCUCGGCCAUUAUUUUGAAAAACUAUUUUUUCAGAAUUUUAUGUACACAAAUUUGUUGAUUGAUUUGCUUGACCUAUUUCCAUAAUUAGAUGGUAAUGUAUCUAGUCUUUAUUGCAUACUUUGUGCUACUUUGUUUCCUUAUGUGAUUAUACCUUACUUUGUAAUUUUUUUUCUUUUAAAAUGACUGAUUAUUAUCGUUUGAUUUGGGAUCCCCUAAUAAAAGGGAAGUCCAUAUACUGAUUAGAUUGUAAUUGAUGCCAGUCCCUUAAUUAAGGGACUGAUACCUUGUUUGUUUACUCGUAUUCAGUGCUAUAAGUACCCUCCCUCAUUCUAUUUGCAAGACACCAACACAUUGCAUAUCACUUGAUACACAUAGACAUGAAUAGACUCAGUGUUCUGAACUCUCUCUCUUUUACACACAGACAUAUUUGUGCUCUUUGUUGCUACACAAUUUUCUCACUUUUCCUGUUGAAUGCUAAUCCCUCAAUUGGCUGCAAGCCAAAAUUGAGUAACCUUUGUCACUUUUACCUGCUGGCAUCUACUGUGUUUUGAGUCUGCCUGCUGCUCUUCUUGCAUACUACUGCCCACUUUUUGCAUACUACUGCUUUGCUCUCUGCUUCUCUCUGCACAUUACUGCUCACUUCUUUGCUCACUACUGCUCUGUGUUUGCAUUUUUUUCAGCUGGUAUGUACCCUAUUUAAGCUACAGCCUCAAAAACAAUAUGCUUCUAUUGGUGUUGCACUUUCUUUUAUUCCUUGUGUGUUUCUACUUGUGGUUCUGCUGCUCAUAUUACAACUAGCAUGCGUCUGUGUUAACAAGUAAGCCUAAUUAGUAAGCCUAGCAUGUUCAUUACCCCCUUUCCUACCCCAAUUCAUAUUUCCUCUUUGCUUCUAUAUACUACUAGCAUCCUUUUGGCUACUCCAUAACCCAAAACCUUUUGAGAAUGACUUGGUUUGGUGUCUGGUGCUGUAAGAACCAGACUCCUAUUUUAAAGCAUGAACUCCCCUGUGUGUGACUGAUUGUCUUGUUUGUAAGCUGUUUGUUCCCUUUUGCAUUUACUUUUGUCUGUGUGACUAUUGCUUUCAAAACCUGCCUCAAAGUAAUUGUUUUCAAGCUCAGUUAAGUUUUUCACUCUUCUACUAUUUUUCUCAAACUGUCCUUCAUGUAAAACCUUUUCAACUCAACUCCUUCACAAUCACACUACUCUUAGAAUUAGGUUAUGUUCCCUUGUGUAAGCACUGGUUUGGGUACCUUGAGUACUCACUGAACUUUGAUGCACAAGGUUGGCAAUUCCACACUUGCACUUAUCAAUGGUGAUUUGUUU